GUGACCAGAGCGAAGCAGGUUAAUACCUCUGCAGUAUCUCCCUGCCCUUUGGCAUUUCCUUUUCUGGUGUGACUUUGGGUUUGUUUUUCCCUCCUGAAACUGAAACCAACCUCGAGCCUCCCUUGGGCUGUUUUAAUGUCAUGCAAAAAAAGCUGCGGAAGGAAAAGCUUCAAAAAUAGGGCAGGAGGAAGUUGGAAGGCCAUUGCAACCCUCUCAUGGAAAGGUGUCAACUGAAGAUGAAAAGACCUGAAAGUGAGCAAGAAGCUGCUGUGAUUUCCCAUCUCUGUGUGUGUGUGCCUCCUUGAAGAAGACACUCGUGCCAACACUGUGUCCUUGAAUGGUGUGGAUCCCAGUUCUACUCUGGACGUUUUUGCAGUGUGAACUGGGACUCGGCUCUUAUUGGCUGGAAAACAAGAAGCCUUGAUGUGGGAAGAGGUUUGCCAUCAUGUCUAGCAAUGAGCUCAACGGAUCGAAGC
rnacentral:lncRNA from 1 species